rnacentral:rRNA from 1 species
UACAGAGGGUGCAAGCGUUGUUCGGAAUUAUUGGGCGUAAAGCGCGUGUAGGCGGCUUUGCAAGUCGGGUGUGAAAGCCCUCAGCUUAACUGAGGAAGUGCGCCCGAAACUGCAGAGCUUGAGUACCGGAGAGGAUGGUGGAAUUCCCCAAGUAGAGGUGAAAUUCGUAGAUAUGGGGAGGAACACCGGUGGCGAAGGCGACCAUCUGGACGGAUACUGACGCUGAGACGCGAAAAGCGUGGGUAGCAAACAGG